UGCGGAUCCCACCCAACUUGGC
rnacentral:misc_RNA from 1 species